CCUUAACGUUUCCAGGUGCGCUUAUCUUGCAUCACUAGAAAACACCAGGCUAAAAAAUGCCAGAUGGCCCUGGUGGUCCAGUAGGUUGAGGACCUCCAGUAGGCUGAGGUUCACCAGUUGGUUGUGGCCCUCCAGUUGGUUGGGGCUCUCCAGUUGGUUCAGGACCUCCAGUUGGUGGACCUGGUGGUCCAGUUGGUUCAGGACCUCCGGUUGGUUGACCAGUUGGAUCAGGACCUCCGGUUGGUGGCCCUGGUGGACCAGUUGGUUGUGGCCCUUCAGUUGGUCCAGGAGGGCCAGGUGGAGUCUCUUGGCUGCGGCAUGCUGAUACC